rnacentral:rRNA from 1 species
CUACGGGGUGCAGCAGUGGGGAAUAUUGGACAAUGGGCGAAAGCCUGAUCCAGCCAUGCCGCGUGUGUGAAGAAGGCCUUCGGGUUGUAAAGCACUUUCAGUGGGGAAGAAAGCCUUGGGGCUAAUACCCUCGAGGAAGGACAUCACCCACAGAAGAAGCACCGGCUAACUCCGUGCCAGCAGCCGCGGUAAUACGGAGGGUGCGAGCGUUAAUCGGAAUUACUGGGCGUAAAGCGCGCGUAGGCGGUCUGAUAAGCCGGUUGUGAAAGCCCCGGGCUCAACCUGGGAACGGCAUCCGGAACUGUCAGGCUAGAGUGCAGGAGAGGAAGGUAGAAUUCCCGGUGUAGCGGUGAAAUGCGUAGAGAUCGGGAGGAAUACCAGUGGCGAAGGCGGCCUUCUGGACUGACACUGACGCUGAGGUGCGAAAGCGUGGGUAGCAAACAGGAUUAGAUACCCUGGUAGUC